GAUGAACGCUAGCGGCAGGCCUAACACAUGCAAGUCGAGGGGUAACGGGGAGCUUGCUCCGCCGACGACCGGCGCACGGGUGCGUAACGCGUAUACAACCUACCUUUUGCUGCGGGAUAGCCCAGAGAAAUUCGGAUUAACACCGCAUAGUAUAGGGUUCCGGCAUCGGAAUUUUAUUAAAGGCUACGGCAAAAGAUGGGUAUGCGUUCUAUUAGCUGGUUGGUGCGGUAACGGCGCACCAAGGCAACGAUAGAUAGGGGCCCUGAGAGGGGGAUCCCCCACACUGGUACUGAGACACGGACCAGACUCCUACGGGAGGCAGCAGUGAGGAAUAUUGGACAAUGGGCGAGAGCCUGAUCCAGCCAUGCCGCGUGCAGGAAGACUGCCCUAUGGGUUGUAAACUGCUUUUAUACGGGAAGAAACACCCCCUCGUGAAGGGGGCUUGACGGUACCGUAAGAAUAAGGAUCGACUAACUCCGUGCCAGCAGCCGCGGUAAUACGGAGGAUCCAAGCGUUAUCCGGAAUCAUUGGGUUUAAAGGGUCCGUAGGUGGAUGGUUAUGUCAGAGGUGAAAUCCUGCAGCUCAACUGUAGAAUUGCCUUUGAUACUGGU
rnacentral:rRNA from 1 species